GGAUGGGACCGGCGCGGCAGAGUCCUGCGAACCCCGCCAGGUCCGAGAGGAAGCAGCGGUAAGGAGGAUACUCUGGGCGCCGCCGGCAAACCUGUCCGGA
rnacentral:SRP_RNA from 1 species